UCCACUGGCGGUGGCACAGCAGGGCCUAUUUCCUGAAGGCAUGCGUGGGAAAAAAAAGUUUUCCAGGCAGACUUAGACACCCAGGCUUCCACGCUGUAAGGAACAGCACUUCCUUCCUCUCCAGCACUGGUGAUACCAUUCACAGCAAAGCGUGAAGAUGGCCUUUCUGAUGCACCAAAUGGCAGCUGGCUGUAGUGACUCAUGCUUGUGGCCCCAGCACUCCGGAGGAUGAGGCAGAAGACUCAUGAGUUUGAGUCUAGGGCUACACAUUAGGACUCUGUGUCAAAGCAAACCGAUAAGCCGGCAAACAAAUAUCAAGGAUGAAGAACCGACAGCAACAAAAGGAAAUACAUAAAGUGCUGAACGCGUGUUACAUCCUUCUCUAUACCUGGCUACAGUGACUCAUAUAUUCUGCCCAUUAUACAGAAUUCCAGUGUAACCCCUCUGAGAAUUACAUAUGGAGAGACAGAUACUUGCUACGGCGGAGGCACUGGUCUUCUGACACCCCUUGCCCUGAAACGUCUCAACGAAGACGUUGGUUUCCUAUGCUGGAGAUAGCACCCAACUGGAUUUGCAGAACAACGCUGUGCUUCCAGGUCCUGCUCUGGAUUCUGCUCGCCUUGGAGAGAGUUGCCAGAGCUUUUGGUACUGGAAUAUAUCCAUGCCUAAAAUAAGGGGUAUUGUUAAU